UUUCGAUUUAAAUUAAUACAGUAAACUAAAAAACAAAAAAGAACUCACUCAAAGCUUUUUUACUCAGACAUUGCUGAUNUUAUACAUUUUUAUAGUAAUUUUAUUUAUUAAAUGUAUUUUUUUUGAGUUUCCUUAAUAAUACUAUAAUAUACCAGUACUAUAAUAUACCAGGACUAUGACGGUGCAUAGCAUAGCACCGGAAGAUCAAAGAACAUAGCAAUAUUUUUCACGUUACGUAUGUUUUUAAUAUUUAAAAUAAGAUAAAAUCUUUGCUUUAUGGUAAAAAAUUAAACGUAGUUAAACUGCAAUGAGUUCGUGGCACUUCGUUUACUACAACUAGGCUUAACGACGUUGUCCCCUUUGGUAACCCGGAGGGGAUGAAAAGCUACAACGUGCGUGAACACAGGCUUUCCGAGGGGGUAUUUUUUUUGCUUUGCCUUCCCCUAAAGGGGAACAACAUAGCGCAAUAUUUUUAGCUUUUUUACGGAAGGGCACCUUACUUUAACUACAUUAGGGAUUUUGCCUUGAACUACAUUGUUUUAAAUGAAUAACAAAACUAGCCCGCUAUAACCGUCAUUGUGGUUUGUUGGACUUUCUAUAACUUGUAGCGCGAGCUGCUAUUAAAACGCUGAUGCACCUUAGGCCACCGUAGGUUACGCGUACGGUAAUUGUAAGUACUCUUGUUACAAUGUAGCAAGUUAGAAGCUUUGCCGCGUGGGCGAUCACGCAUUUUUUUAGAAUAAGAAACAAAAAAAUUUAAAAAAGCGGAUUUUAAAAUUUU
rnacentral:lncRNA from 1 species